AUGCACGUUUAAGUUCACGCUGAUUAACGGUGAAACCGCGAAUGGCUCAUUACAACAGCUAUAAUUUACUUGAUGUUGACAAUCCUACUUGGAUAACUGCGGUAAUUCUGGAGCUAAUACAUGCAUCAAAGCUCUGACACCCUCGGAGCGCAUUUAUUAGAACAAAACCAAUCGGCUUCGGCCGUUUGUUGUUGACUCUGAAUAACUCAGCUGAUCGCAUGGUCUUGAACCGGCGACAUAUCUUUCAAGUAUCUGCCUUAUCAACUUUCGAUGGUAGUUUAUGUGCCUACCAUGGUUGCAACGGGUAACGGAAAAUAAGGGUUUGAUUCCGGAGAGGGAGCCUGAGAAACGGCUACCACA
rnacentral:rRNA from 1 species